AAUAAACAUAGUCAGAAAGGUUCUAUUUUGUUCCUGCUGCUUAGUGUGAGUGGGCUCCCAUGAGCUUCAGAAGGAAUGAAAGGAGAAAACAAUUAAUUCUUCUCUGGAAAAGAUGAUCUGUGGUCCAGAUAAUCCUGGAUCUUGGCUGACCCACCUGAUGAUGCUGAACAGUAACAGGUAGAUUCUUUGCUUUGUGCCGAAAAUUAAAGGUGGCAUGAGCUCACAGGAGAAAACCAGAAGAGAAAUUCCAGGGAAAAGCUAAAGGUGUUUUUCCAGCACUAGUCAUCAUUUCCAAAUUCCAGGCAGGAGAAAGGGUAAGGGAGAAAGAAGAGCAUCAGAAGACUCGUACAUCUCAUCGGAUGGAAAGUUAACACCCCUGAGUACUAAGGAAUCUGGGUAAGCAGCUAGCAGAGGACGGAGGAGAGAAACGAAUAGAGAAUAGCUGCCGGCUGAGCCAAGCUACAGGGUCUUCCACAUUCUGGCGGCUGGAAGUCCGAGAUCAUAGUGCCAGCAGGACUGGGUUCUGGUGAGUGCCUCUUCCAGGUUGCAGAUGGCUGAAUUCUCGUUGCAUCUUUACAAGGUGGAAAAAGAGUGAGCUGGUUCUCUGGUCUUCUGACAAGGGCACUGAUCCCAUUCCUGAGACUCCACUAUCAUGACGUAAUCACCUUGCAGAGGCCUGGCCUCCAAACACCGUCACACUGGGGAUUAGAUUUCCACGUAUGAGUUUUGGGGAACACAAGCAUUCAGUCUGUUACAAGCGUGAAUACCGAAAUCUGGAUGCGGUUCUUGCCCCCAGGAUGGGUUUUAAUUGGCCUUUAUUGCUGGAGGCCUUUUCCGUUUUAUUUCACUUGUGAAAGAUGGGAAACAUUUGCAUCUUUUAUCCCAGAAACUGUUGGAAUAUUUGGAAUAUCCUGGUUUUCUUUUAUUCUUGCAAACUGGCAAUUUCUCUCUGAGCUCAUACCUUCCAUGUGUCACCUUAUUUGUAUGCAGCCAAGGCACUCUGAUGGUAUUUCCUAAUCUCUCUAUCUGAACCACAAACUGAAUCUACACAUUGCCUGCCUUCCAAGUUGUCACAGGUGACACUUCCACCUAAUACUUUGCCACAGGAUAAUAUAGAUUGUCAUCAUUCUGAACUCCUAUAGAA
rnacentral:lncRNA from 1 species